rnacentral:lncRNA from 1 species
CACAUCCUUGUGGUAAUUUCAGCUUCUGGCAAUUGAACCACGAGUCCCCCGUCUCAGCAAUCACAGCACUGUCGCCAGACGACAUAUUCUGAAUGUGUUGAAAUAGAACAUUAACCCUUAAUGCUUCCUUAGGCUCACAUUUAAGAGGAUAUCCCUCAGGAACAUAAAUCCUAUGGUAAAUCUCAUAAGCAGUCGUAUUGUGCUUUAAUCUCUUUGCUAAUGCAGCAAGGAAAUCCUCAUCAGAACACAACCAAAUGCCGGUCCAUCCAUGAUAGUCACACGAUCAGGCUGGACAAUGAUCGCUUUCUCUUUCUUGAGAAGCAGAGAAUAACCAACAGAGCUAUAGUCAUUAAAAUCGGUCCAGCAAACAAGUACGCAUCAGCAGAUUCCACGAUUUCAGCACAGAAUGCCGUGCUCACUGCACCCCAGUAAGUCCCAAUGAAAUGUAAAUGGUGUUCGGGAACCAACCCUUUAGCGAUGGCAUCACUGCGACAGCAUAACCACAGGCAUCAGACAACUCAACAAAAGCAUCAGAUGCCUUUGCAACCCGCAUUUUUGGCCCUCCAACAAGUACUGGCUUUACUGCUUUGUUCAAGAACUCAGCCGCUGCCUCCACUGCUGCUUCCAAACCCAUCAUAUUACUCAGUCUACAAACAGAAAGAGACACCAAGUAAGCAACCCAGAGACAUAAACAGAGGCAGAUCCUGCAUAUAAGGAGAACAAACAGAAAGAGACACCAAAAGUAAGCAACCCAGAGACAUAAACAGAGGCGGAUCCUGCAUAUAAGGAGAGUGGAUAAACAUGCAUCAACUAUUUCAUUUUGUUGUUUAUUUCUGUGAUCGAUCAAUCUAUCACUCAAUCGAAAGCCGCUCUGCUCUAUCAAUGUCUGAUUUUUGGUUGUCUAAUCACACUCGAUAUUAUGUAUCUGCUUAUCAUUCAAUGCUCAGUAGUUAUGUACUAGGCUGUUUCGGACAUUUUCUUGGAAAUGAAGACUUGGACCUUACAUAUCAAUCUAAUUUUUUUUAUAUAUAAAAUAAACAUAAGUAUAUAUGAUAAAAGACACAUCCACUACCUUUAAAUCUUGGAUCCAUGAAUGACUAAGAGCAUCGACAACACACAAGAUAUUUCAAAACAAUUCAACAGAAAGAACAGAUUUUCAUCUAUAUAUACGACUUCAACACGAAAAAACAGAGUACAUAAUCAGUCUUUUGAGUAUAAC